rnacentral:rRNA from 1 species
AUGUCGACUGCAGGGAUAAUCAAAGUCUCCGCUGCGUGCCCUGUCUUCGAUGGCACUGAUUACCCCUACUGGAAGAAUAAGAUGUGUAUGCAUCUUGAAGCCAUUGACGUCGACCUCUGGUAUGUCGUCAAGAACGAUGUUCCCAAGGUCGGUGAAGGUGUCACUGCUGCUGAUGUCAAGAGGUUCAUUCAACUGGACUUGACUACCAAGAACAUCAUCUGUGGCCAUCUGACCAAAGGAAAGUAUGGUCGUGUGAGUGCUCUGGAAACUGCGAAGCUAGUCUGGGACUGGCUCUCCAAGGUCAACGAUGGCGUCUCAACCCAGAGAGACUCAAGGAUUAGUGUUCUUCGCAACCUCUUCAACCUCUUCAAGAGAAAUGACAAUGAGAAUGUCCAUCUGAAAUUUGAUCGCCUCACUGAUAUCACAAAUGAGCUUCAUGCACUCGGCGCCACUGAGAUCACCAAGCACGAAAUCGUCAAGACGCUCCUGAGAUCGCUUGACAGCUCAUUCGACACCCUGGCCCUGAUGAUUCAAGAACGCCCUAACUUUAAGACUCUCGAUCCGUCUGACAUACUUGAGAGGCUCAACAUACAUGAGUUCCAGCUAUCUGAGAAAAGAGAUAUCUAUGGUCCCAACUAUGGCCAAACUCGCGCUUUGAAGGCAAAGGUUGUUUCCUCAUCUGAAGAAUAA